GUCUACAGCCAUGCCACUCUGAACAAGCCCGAUCCUGUCUGAUCUUGGAAGCUAAGCAGGAUCAGGCCUGGUUAGUACUUGGAUGGGAGACCACCUAGGAAGAUCAGGUGCUAUAGGCA
rnacentral:rRNA from 1 species